UACCAGCACCCCGAGUGGUCGGGACGAUUAUUGGGCCUAAAGCAUCCGUAGCCGGUCAUGCAAGUCUUCCGUUAAAUCCAGCCGCUCAACGGUUGGGCUGCGGAGGAUACUACGUGGCUAGGAGGCGGGAGAGGCAAGCGGUACUCAGUGGGUAGGGGUAAAAUCCUUUGAUCCAUUGAAGACCACCAGUGGCGAAGGCGGCUUGCCAGAACGCGCUCGACGGUGAGGGAUGAAAGCUGGGGGAGCAACCAGG
rnacentral:rRNA from 1 species